UGGCUGAGUAGUAAAGCACUUGGCUUCUGAACUAGGGUCCCAGGUUCGAAUCCUGG
rnacentral:tRNA from 1 species